rnacentral:rRNA from 1 species
GGAGAAUUUUGGACAAUGGGGGGAACCCUGAUCCAGCCAUGCCGCGUGUGUAAAGAAGGCCUUAUGGUUGUAAAGCACUUUAAGCGAGGAGGAGGCUCUUUUGGCUAAUACCCAAGAUGAGUGGACGUUACUCGCAGAAUAAGCACCGGCUAACUCUGUGCCAGCAGCCGCGGUAAUACAGAGGGUGCGAGCGUUAAUCGGAUUUACUGGGCGUAAAGCGUACGUAGGCGGCUUUUUAAGUCGGAUGUGAAAUCCCUGAGCUUAACUUAGGAAUUGCAUUCGAUACUGGGAAGCUAGAGUAUGGGAGAGGAUGGUAGAAUUCCAGGUGUAGCGGUGAAAUGCGUAGAGAUCUGGAGGAAUACCGAUGGCGAAGGCAGCCAUCUGGCCUAAUACUGACGCUGAGGUACGAAAGCAUGGGGAGCAAAC